CAGCCUUCUUGAAGACAAGCUUGUGAUUUCCCCUGAAAAUGAUAAAAAUUCAUGAUUUGAUGAAUUUCGCCCAGCAUUAUCAGAGGUUCAGGAAAAGUACCUUACACCU
ensembl:ncRNA T01C8.11 ncRNA